CUUGUAGUUUAGCUGUCCUCCAUACUCUCAAAGCUCUUAUGACCAAAUAAACAAAUAGAAUCACUCCCCAUACCAGCCAGGAAGAUAACAUCCACCAAGCAGGAAGCAUAACGAGCAAACUAAUGAAGGCAAAUAGCAUUGAGACAUCCCAAAUAUUAGGGGUUGCCAGGGAGCAAAGUGUUGGAAGGUGUCCACUUUCCUGUUGUUGAGGUUGUCCUGCUUACAGGAUACUGGAAUCAAGUAGCUCAGUGAGCUCCACAUCCUCUUGAAACAGGACUUCCUGUUGCAGGAUGGUAUGUAAUGAGUUGAGUCGGAAUCCAAUAUCCAACUUGUGAAGUAAGUCAUCUUUCUUACUGCGCUGAGAAAAAACCCAACUUCUGGUGGUUUUAGCCACUUUUAACAGAAUGCGUAUUUUGGUAGGACUCUUGUAGGAGGCUUUUGUUGUCCCUCCGUGGCGCAUUUUUCUGUUUUUGGUGACAAAGAACAUAUUUCAAAGUCUGUGUGUCCCGGAUCCUGUAAGUACUGAUAAAGCGGAGAAUUCCAAAAGCUACCUCCUUGUCAAACUCCAAUGUCAUCCUUCUCUGC
rnacentral:lncRNA from 1 species